GAACGCUAGCGGCUUAGGCUUAACACAUGCAAGUCGAGGGGCAGCACGGGUAGCAAUACCUGGUGGCGACCGGCGCAAGGGUGCGUAACGCGUGAGCAACAUGCCCUAUACAGGGGGAUAAUCCAGGGAAACUUGGUCUAAUAUCCCAUAGCAUUUAGAGGAGGCAUCUUCACUAAAUUAAAGCUUCGGUGGUAUAGGAUUGGCUCGCGUGACAUUAGCUAGAUGGUGAGGUAACGGCCCACCAUGGCUAUGAUGUCUAGGGGUUCUGAGAGGAAGACCCCCCACACUGGGACUGAGACACGGCCCAGACUCCUAUGGGAGGCAGCAGUGAGGAAUAUUGGACAAUGGAUGGAAAUCUGAUCCAGCCAUGCCGCGUGCAGGAAGACGGCCCUAUGGGUUGUAAACUGCUUUUAUAUGGGAGCAAUAAGGUUUACGAGUAGACCGAUGAGAGUACCAUAUGAAUAAGCAUCGGCUAACUCCGUG
rnacentral:rRNA from 1 species